rnacentral:rRNA from 1 species
UACAGAGGCCUCGAGCGUUAGGCGGAAUCACUGGGCUUAAAGCGUGUGUAGGCGGACUUCUAAGUACCUUGUGAAAUCCCACGGCUUACCCGUGGAACGGCUGGGUAUACUGCGGGUCUUGAGCCACUUAGGGGCAAGCGGAACAAACGGUGGAGCGGUGAAAUGCGUAGAUAUCGUUUGGAACGCCAAUGGUGAAAACAGCUUGCUGGGAGUGUGCUGACGCUGAGACACGAAAGCCAGGGGAGCAAACGGG